rnacentral:rRNA from 1 species
UACGUAGGGGGCAAGCGUUAUCCGGAUUUACUGGGUGUAAAGGGAGCGUAGGCGGCUUAGUAAGUCAGAAGUGAAAGCCCGCAGCUCAACUGCGGGACUGCUUUUGAAACUGCCAAGCUAGAGUGUCGGAGAGGUAAGUGGAAUUCCUAGUGUAGCGGUGAAAUGCGUAGAUAUUGGGAAGAACACCAGCGGCGAAGGCGAUUCACUGGACUGUAACUGACACUGAGGCACGAAAGCGUGGGGAGCAAACAGG